UCAUCCUCUCUCUCAAGGCUUUCAUCUGGGAGAUUACAGACAUACGCGAAUUCUCAUCCAACGCCCUUCUCAUUCUCUAACCAAUUCAUGACUUCUUCUUUCUCCGACCUUCUCGCCGGUGACGUCGAUAAAGGGCUUUCUGAUCAUUUCGCCAAUAGAACUGGAGCCAGUGUUCCAGAGUUCAAGUCGAUUCCUCCUCCUUCACUGCCCAUCUUUCCUCCUCCUGUCUCUCCUUCUUCUUACUUCGCUAUUCCACCUGGCUUGAGCCCCCCCGGCCUCUUGGAUUCACCUGUCCUCCUCUCCGCUUCUAAUCAGCUUCUGCAGUCUCCUACGAGGCUACGACUGUGACACUUCCCUCUCAAGCGUUCAAUUGGAAGAGUAAUUCUGUAAACUACCAGAAAGGUGUCAAGAAGGAAGAGAAAAACUUGUCGGAUUUCUCUUUCCAACCCCAAACAAGGCCCGCUAUGGGCUCGGUAUCCAUGUUUGAGUCUUCUAUCACUACGAUUUCUAAGGACUAGAACAAGAGUGGAAUUUUCAACCCACCAAGCCGAUAUCUCAUCCGUGAAGCCCAUGGUGAAAUCUGAAUAUGCUCCGAUGCACUUCUCUCAUGAGGUUUCCAGCAUCCAAGCCAACAGCACCCAGAGCAACACGGUGGAUUCCAGUCGAAUCAUAAUCAGUACUCUCAACCUUUCAGGGAGCAAAGGAGAUUGGAUGAUGGUUACAAUUGGAGAAAACAUGGGCAAAAACAGGUGAAAGGAAGCGAGAAUCCAUGUAGCUAUUACAAGUGCUGUUCGUGUAUAAUGAGGUGGGAAGAUGAACAGUUUUUUUUUUUUCCAAUUAUCCGAAUAGUUAUUA